UUUUUUUUUUUAAAGAAAUGGAGAAAAAUGUUGUUUUAGGAAAAACUUGCGAUAACUCGGAGGCCUCCCAUAAGCUAGAGAGAAACAACAUGUCACUCGUAGAGUAUCCGACAGGAGGACUCACCUUGGCAUGGCUCAGCAGGAUAAUCCUCACCAGCACAACGUUGAUGUGGGCCCCCAGUGACUCGUCAUGGUAGAUUUCAUUGACCUGAAAGACAGCCAGGGAGACAUCAGCAGGAACUAUGGGCCAAAGACCACUCCGGCUGUGCUCCUGGCAUCUUGUCCCUAAGCCCCCAGCAGUGGCCUCCUGAGACAUCCACUUCCUGGCCCAUAGCCCGCACUCAGAGCUGAACCUGGACCGGAGAAUUCACAUCAGCUCUCACUGAAGCAUGGCAUAUUCCCUCCAGAAGGAAUGAAACUGUCAGAGUAGAAGUCAUUCCUGGUUGUGGCUACUCUGUGAAAUGUUACACUGCUACAAUCCACACUCCGUAUCCCACAGACUCCGUGUCCAAGGAUUCAACCACCCCCAGAACAAAAAUAUUUGGGGAAAAGUUCACAGAAAAUGUAUAGACUUUUUCCCUUGUCAUUUCCUUCUAAACAAUACAAUAGUCAGUUACAUGGCAUUUAUGCUUUAUGAAGUAUUAUAAGUCAUGUAAACAUCACUUGAUGUGUGUGGGAGUGUGUGUGUGUAGGUUAAACACAAACACCACACAUAGUACUCCGGGAACUUGAACUCCUGAAAGGUGUUCUGGAGCUGAGCCCUUCAAUGCUCAAGGAUGUGGAAGAAUGCCGCACUUGGAAAUGUGGACCACUUUGAACCCAUGACCAGUUCUUCCUUCAUCCUGUUAAUGGGGAGCAGUUAUCACUAAGUCUGUUACUCUGCCUUCCCUGUUCUCUGUCAUGCCUGUCAUGGUCUUCUUUCACAUUUUGAGCACUAUUUUAUUUUUGUGUGCUUUUUAAAAACACUUAAAAACAUUAUUCUGGGGGCUAGGGAGAUAGCUUAGUAGAUAAGAGUUCUUGCUGUGCAAGCAUGAGGUCCUGAGUUCAAAUCCCCAUGCCCACAUGAAAAAUGGCCUUCCUGUACUUGUAAUCCCAGGACUGGAAGUGGGGUGGUGAUCCCUAUGACUCACAGCUGCCAGCCUAGCUCCAGGUUCAGAGAGAGACCCUAUCUCAAGAGGAUAGCUUGAAAAGUAAGAGUGGAACACCCAAUGUCAUCCUCUGGCUUCUGUAGCACCCAGGCAUGUGUACCCCCCCACACACACACAGAGGGGGGGAACAUAAAUAAAAACAUUAUCCUUAGCAGGCAUCUGUAGGGGUCCCCAGAUGCCCACAGCAUAAAAGGGCAGGAGGAUGAACUCCCACGGUCUACAGCAUGUCCACCACCAUCUAGAAACACAUGCUAGGCUGACUAACCUCAGGCUCGGAGCUGCUAAAAGCUUCCUGGCCAUGGGGUCACCCCCAUCUUCCCACCUCACACUCAGAACGUCGUGGAAUAGCCCUUCACUGCACUGGCUGAGCAAACGCUCUUCCUUCUUGCAGUGCAGGCUAGGAGUCAAUUUUCUUUGAAGGGCCCCUCCAGGUUCAGACCUGCUCCUAUGGAGAAUUGGUACCCCAUCCUUCUUAAGUCCCACUCUGUUGCAGAAUAGAACGUCUGUUUAACUAUGUAAAAAUGUGCUGCAUUUGUUUA